AGGAGGCUCAUCACCUUCAGGUUUUUCUGAUGUUCAUGUUGUGCUGCGGUUGCAGAGCCUUUUGCAGUAUUCCACAACGUUCCAUUGUGGUGUGUUUUUCAGUCUGAUGUCAAUAACUUUGUAGCUCCAUAAGAAACAGAAUAGGGUUGUUUGAGGAAAGUAAAUACAGAAAUACUUUGUGUGAUAAGUCAAAAGAAAGUUUGUGUUCAAAGCUUAUCCACUUACUUUAAUCCUUCAGUUUGUUCAAUUAUUACAAUGAAAUGUAAAAUUGUGUGCAGCAAAAACUUAUUUCAUGUUUCUAUAAUCAGGUUACAUUUCACGCUAGAGAGGUUCCUGUGGUACUGAACGGCAUGUCAUGUACCUGUUGUGCUGGGAAAGCACUGUGCAACCACAUCGUAGCACUACUGUUUCAAAGUGCUCAUUACAGUACCAUGGGGUUCAAGACAGUGCCAUUGCCACUGUCAUGCACUAGCUCACUGCAGACAUGGCACCGUCCUAGGACACAGGGAAUUGCACCUGAGUCAACAAACUGCAUGGUAGUGUGUAAACCAGUACCAAAAUCCCAGGAUCGUGCCCGAACUGGUGUGAAAUGUACACUGUACAGAGCAUAUAGUGGACCUCUUCCAGAUCCUAACAUCAUGGCCAGUGUUGAGAAGCUGCAAGAAAAACGCCCACAACCAGGCAUUUGCAAAAUACUGCAUGGACUUCAGGGGCCGUAUUCACAAAGAAUUUUAAGGCUAAAAGUAGCUCCUAACUGGCGAAUUUAGGAGCAACUCCUAAAAAUAAUGGGCGUGUCACUCCUAAAUUUAGGACUCCUAAAUUUUUUCACUAAGAGCAAUUCACAAAGCAUUUUAGCCCUAAAAGUAGCACCUAAGUCUGGGACAGCUUAAAAGAAGUCGAGAGGACUCCUAACUCACUAAGACCUAUUCACAAAAGAUCUUAAAAUGCCUUAGGUGCUGAUCCUACUUUACAUGGACAGUUUCACCAACUCAAAAGCAUUGCAAGUACUUAAAAGCACACUUUAAUGUAAGCAUAUUGUUUAUGACAUUUGUUUCAUAAUUCAUUACAUUCAUGACAAGCAGGAAGUUUUUUAGAAUUACAUGAAACAAUAAUGAUAUUAAAUAUUUAAUAUUAUAGGCAUACCUGUUGCCAUGCUAGUCUGUUUAAAGGCUGCAAUCUCAACCCUCUACUGCGAUUGUAAUGCAUAUACCACCGCCUCUCACAUUCGUCCGGGGUCCGCGACAUAAGUGGGAAUGUUGCAUUGAUCUGCAACAAAUCCUCUCCCAUCAGUAAUGCGCGGGUUGAUCCGAAAUGAGCGGAUGCAUGCGGUCACCCGCGGUUACGAGUCAUCCAAAAAUAUUUUUAAUGAUAUUCGGGUCGCGUUCGGUCGGGUCGUUUGAAAUAAAGAUGGCAAUUAACUAUUAAACAAUUACUACUUUAAAAAAAUGCUGGCCAGGGAGCGGGUCGGGUACACUAUUUAUUUUUUAUUUUUUGCGGUCCGAGUUGCGGGCGGGUUAGUUGAAAACGUUGGUCGGGUGCCAGUUGUUUUGUACAUUGACCCGCGCAUCACUUUCUCGCAUGUCUCACGCUUAGUUUUGCUUGAUAUCUCAGUGCCAAAUUUCCCUUUUAUUAGCCUACGUUUCUUUUUUCCAGCACCAACUGGGCCAGCAGCAGUAACUGAUCCUGCAUCCAUUUGGGCUUUCUUUUUCGUUUUGGCGAGUUCCACCAUCAUUUAUUUAUUACAUUAGGCAGGCUUCUUUAAUAUGGGCAACAUUUCCUUGCUUUAAGUAGUCUAUUUAGGCUAAUAGGAUGUACAUUAAUUAAGCAAGUGUUAAUGCAAUGUCGUUUUUUAUUAUUAGGCAAUUGGCGGUUUUCAUUUGUAUUAGGCUUGAUUUAAUUUAAUUUAAUUCACGACUUUUCUUUAAUAUAUGCAUUUCGAUGGCAUUACUAUUAUUAUUAUUUUGUAUAGGACACAGACAUAUUUCGAUAUUGUAAUUCCAUGAUUUGGUGCGUCUGUGUUAUGUUCCGCAUGACAGCCCUGUCAUCUAACAACCAAUCACCGUGGUCAUUGCGAGGCAGCUCGUGCAUGAGAAUUGACGUCAUCCGUAGCAACGAAGACUCACUCUUAGUUUAGGAGUUAUCAUUUUUCCUUACUAAAAGUAGGUCUGAAAGGCGUUGUGAAUAACUUUUAAGAGAAAACUCCUAGCUAAAAUCUUUUAGUGCGAUUUAGGAGUACUCUUAGUGAUAAGAUAAAAUGCUUUGUGAAUACGGCCCCAGGACCUUAAUCUUGUGGACUCUAAGUUUGGCCCUGUGCCAUUUGGGUCUGUGCUCUCCUACCAGUGCCCUCUUGAAAUCAGUAGAGACAUUAUAAAACAUGCUCCUGCCCCUGAAUUUCCUCAACUGCCUGUUGAAGGUUACAAUUUUAAAUUUCAUUACAAUUUUCAGUCCAACUAUAAGCAACAAUGCCACUUAGAAAGCCUUAAGGUGUCGAGGGAAAUCUCUGCUGCUAUUGAGGCAGAAACCCGAAAGCAGUCUGAAUGCCAGUUGUGGACCAAGGUCCGGAAACCCCGACUGACAGCCAGUAGAUUUGGUGAAAUCUACCAUGUCCGCGGGGAGUCUACUGCCAAAUCCUUAGCUGCUCGCAUUCUUAGAGGAAGUCCCCAAACAGCUGCUAUGAAAAGAGGGCUGGACUUGGAACCUGAAAUACUGAGGCAAUACUCAGAUUAUUGUAAUAUCUCUGUGAUGCAGUGUGGAAUAAUCAUCCACCCAGAUGCACCUCACCUUGCAGCUAGCCCUGAUGCUAAAGUCUUCGACCCAAGAGAAACAAUGCCAUUUGGAUUGGCAGAGGUAAAGAGUUGCGAUGUUGACAAUGUUUCUCAAGUAAAACACCUCUUCAAAGUUCACGGCCAGGCCUGCCUUAAGAAAAAUCAUAAGUACUACUAUCAGGUUCAAGGCCAGCUGGCAUUAAGUGGACUAAUGUGGUGUGAUUUCAUAACAGAUACCAACACUGAUUUUACAGUUGAAAGAAUCUUUAGAGAUGAGGAGGUUAUAAACUCAUUGCGAAAUAAACUGGAUUAUUUUUAUUACAGCAUCUACAUGGAUGUAUUAUUACGUUGAGGCAUAAUUUUAAAAAGUAAGUAGUUUGUAAAAAAUAUGUAAAUAGUGUGUGUAAAUAAUGUAAAUAGAUGUAAACAUCUGUGAUUCCUGUUGUAAAGACUUUUUCAAUUUGCAAUUUUGCAUUUUAGGUAAAUAUAAAUAGGGACCACUGACAAAAAAGCCUAUAUGCUUCUCUUAUGUUCCAUGGUUGCAUAAAACAACUGUAACCUUGUUGUUGUUUGUAUAUUGUGUUUGUAUAUUAGCUGCUGUGUAAGCUUUUGAUUUGUUUCUUUACCUCACUUAUAGACUAUUA